GCACUUAAAUCUUCCAUUGAAAUGGAGAACACCAACUACGAGGAGGAGCUGAAGAAUGAUCGCAGGCUUGUUUGCAGUCUCAUAUACGAGAUUAAUUGCAGAAAAGAACAGUUGUCCCAAAUGGAACGUGAAUAUAACGAGAUGACCUCAACUCUUCGAGGACUCAUCAAUGGCCUCAUAGCAAAAAUUAACUCCAAGGACAGUAAUCUGUGGGGUUGGGAGCUUCAAUAUAAUGUAACCGUGAGACAGUUGAAGGGCAAGAAUGCUGCGUUGCGCCUUGCAUUUGCUGAAGGUACUUUAGAUUAUAUGUGUAUGUAAUGAGCAGAAUACUAUGUGUUAAUUGAAUCGUCUGGUACCCAUUGAUUGAUCUAUAUAAAUGUCAGGAUUUGAACCCCAAACUUAGCUUUUAUUACGGGAACCGGAUCAAUUUAGGCUCGGAUAAGCUUAAUGUGUUCAUAAACAGAUAAGAACAUAAUAUAUGGGAACACUUUGGCCAUACGAGGCUAAUGCUUAUAUGAUUCGCAUUACAGACUACAUGCUCCUAGUGAUAACUCUUCUGUAAGUACUAUUAGUCGAAUAGCUUUAUGAUGUAUUAAUCUAUCAAAUCUGGGUGUCAUAUUAUGAGUUCCAUUGCUAUGUUAAUCUAUGUACUAACAAUAUUAUGAAGUAAGGCAAUUUUGUGUACAUUAUAUUGGGAUGCAAGCUGAAUUCCCAUUAAUCAGUUUCAACCAUACAUACAUAUACAUAGAUAUAUAUAUGAAGUUAAGAACGUAAGUGCUGUUAAAUGGUACAUUACUCAGAUUGGUAAUAUAUUGGUGCCGAAUGUUCUAAAAUUUAACCAGCAUUACUGGUAAUAUAUUAGUGCCAAAUUUGACUAUUAUUGUUGAUAUAUCUUCAAAAAUUUCAGAUUUGAUAAAUAUAAAAGGGCAAUAAUGAAUAAAAAUACUGACUUUUUGAGAUCUUAUUUAAUGAAGGGAAGUUGAAUGUGGAAACUAAAUCGACCUAAGGGAAAUAAAAGCAAAAUAUGGAAAAGUUUUCUCGGGAAAACAAGUGUUAUCCUUCAUUUAUCUUGAUGAUUCUCUAACGCCGCCAAUUUUCCCCCCUAAGUUUACAGCAAGAAGACAAACGGCAACGUUAAGCCAUAUUCAUCCCAGGUUAAUUUUUUUUGUAAAUUAAACAUUUUUUGUAUACAUUUUGUUACCUAUUUAUUUUAUGUUUUUGAAGUUUCCAUUGCCAUUUCUACCUUUCCAAAAUGGUGUCUUUUUACUUGUUUUUUACUGGGUUAUUGACAUUUGUUCCAUAGAAUAAAUUUCUUUGAUUUUAGGGUUCUAUAUGUAUUUUUUUUAUGAAUUUGAACUUCAGUUAUCCAUAAAAAUUCUACCUUUAAUCUCAAUAUAUUUAUAGUCUAUAAGUUUUGACUUUUCUUCCAAUAAUAUAUCUCCAAAAUUCUAACUUAACCUUUUUAAACUUUGUCAUGUCAUUAUUAUUAUAGUUAAUUGCACCAAAUAUCUCCAAACUAUGGCCCUUAUUCUAAAAUAGUCCUCAAACUCAAAAUACGAGUAAUAUUUGGCCAUAAAAUGUAUAUAUUCAUUCCCUCUAAGCCAGUCGGUUAAGCCUCACAAUCCAACGUAACUGUAAAUCUUUCUUGGCAGCCAUGAAAUCAGUUCUAAAAUCCCUUGCAAACUCAAUCUUCCUUGUUCUUUUCAUCAUCUUUUCAUCUUCUACUCCACUUGUAUUGGCUCAAUGUGAAGCAGAGACCAGGACUAAUGGAUGCCAUAACUACAGAGAAUCCAUGAAGCUAAAAAUCAUUGCCAUUGUCGCAAUUUUACUAUCCAGCAUGAUUGGCGUGUGUCUGCCAUUGUUUUCUGGUCAGGUUCCGUCACUUAAACCCGACAGGGACUUGUUCACCAUUGUCAAGGCAUUUUCCUCCGGUGUUAUUCUAGCGACUGGGUACAUGCACGUGCUACCGGAUUCUUUUAACGACCUUAUGUCCGGGUGUUUGCCUGAAAACCCAUGGAGAAAGUUCCCUUUCACAACCUUCGUCGCAAUGCUGUCGGCUGUGUUGACCCUUAUGGUGGAUUCAUUUGCAAUGAGUGUAUACAAGAAACGUUGCGGUAAAGCUUUAAUGGCGGAUGCUAACAAUGGUGGUGGAUUGGAAAAUACGAACGUUGUACAAAUCGAUAAUUUUGAACACGGCCAUAGCCAUUCACUUGAGAUGAAUGACGACGUAUCAUCACAAUUGUUAAGGCAUCGAGUUAUUGCUCAGGUAUAUAUACAUGUUUGAAUCCUCAAAAUCGAUGGUUUUGCUUUUCAAGUCUUUACAUUAUGUAUUUCCUAAAUGUAGGUAUUAGAGUUGGGAAUUGUAGUUCAUUCAGUGGUGAUUGGCCUUGCAAUGGGAGCCUCUGGCAACCAAUGCACCAUUCGAUCACUCAUUGCUGCCCUUUGCUUCCAUCAAAUGUUUGAGGGGAUGGGACUUGGUGGAUGCAUACUGCAGGUAACCCCCAACAUUGCACUAUAUAUUUUCUCAUUCAAAUAUCCAUUUAGUGUACAAUAUUGAUUAACAUUAUGUUUGAUAUGUGCAGGCUGAAUAUGAGAUAAAAAUGAAAGCAAUCAUGGUAUUCUUCUUUUCAGCCACAACGCCACUUGGAAUAGUUCUGGGAAUUGGUUUGUCCAAGGUUUACAGUGAGACGAGUCCAACUUCACUUAUGGUGGUGGGACUACUUAAUGCUUGCUCAGCAGGGUUGCUGAAUUACAUGGCACUGGUUGAUCUACUUGCAGCUGAUUUUCUGGGCCCUAAGCUUCAAACAAAUAUGAAGCUCCAGGCUUGGUCAUAUGUUGCAGUUUUACUUGGUGCUGGAUUUAUGUCUUUGAUGGCAAAAUGGGCUUAGUCAUUUCAACAUAUACAUGUCUUUUUGUAAUCUUCUUUUUUUUUUCUUUUUUCUUUUUGCUUCAACAGAUAAGUUUAUAGUGGAUCAACACUUAUUCAAUCAAUUAUAAAAUUUAGGCAAAGAAUUGAGGCAACAAGGCUUGAACAUUGAUCUUUAAGAUCGUUUACUCCAUAUUGCAGGGCUCAUCACAAAGUAUAUAUAUCAGAAAAGUAUGCAAACUUCAAUUUUGUGUCAAUAUCAUUAUAAUUUAAACUGUUUAAUGUUACAUCAGAUGUAGAUGUCUUUAAGCCAAUGCUUAUAGCCACAAAGUCUCUUUGGUGCAAGCUAUAAGGACAGAGUUAUGUUAUAAAUAAACAAAUUAAAUAAUUUGUAUUUAAAAUAUCAAAUACUAAAAACCAAUAAAUAAGAUUAGAAAACCAAAAAUCGGAUAAAGAAUCAAAUUUUACUAGAUGUUGGGACUUGUUUUGCACAGUUUCCUUAAGAUAAAUUUGUCCGCUCCUACUGUACUUGGUGAAAUGUUGGGAGACUGUCUAAUAGGAUACAACAACACAAUGACCGAAAUAGUAGCAUCUCUACAGAGACCAAUGAACAACCUUGCCUUUUUCUAUCAUCAGAACAUUGGAAAAUAUAGAGAGAAAAAGAGAAGAAUUUUCGAGAGCAAAAUAAACUUGGUUUUAGAGAGUUUUUUAGUGUAAAAAAUUUUGAAGAAUUCUUAAGCAUUCAAGAUGGAGGAAUUUUUGAAAUAUCCAUAAUUAAAUAUACAAAAUCUGUAUUAAAUGAGCAAUUAAAUCAUAAUAUAUGUCCUUUUUAAAUUAGAUUAUAUAUAUUUGUUGAGAAAAAUAAAUUUUGUGUUGGGCUUAAAAUAUCCAUAGGCCCAACUGACCGGUCUAGACAUUUCACAUCGCCCAUGUAGUGCGAGUGCGCUUCAACCCCAAUGGGUUCGGAUCUACACCCCCUGCGCGUGAGACAAAGUUUCAAACUUAGUCAUUCAAUCAUCUUUCAAGUGGGUUCUCAUAUAUAAACGCAUCUCACAUUUGGUAUUUAAUCAAUGUGAGAUCUAAGCUUUUCUUUUCCUCAACAAAUAUUCACAAGUAACUUACUUUGAGUAUUAAUUUCUCGCUCAUCACUCAACCAUUUUGAGCAUACGAUAUACUGUUUUAAAGGUAUCAUGGAGUAGAAUAUAAAAUCAUAAUUUUAUGAUUCAAUUCUCCACUUAUACCAAUUGAGAAUAUGCUUCAAAGUUUCUAAAAAUUACAAUUUUUUUCAACAUUUUAUACAUCUAGUUUAAAGGUAUAAUCGAGUCCAGUAGAGCCCGAAUAAUGGCAAGCUUGAACUUGACUCAAACAUCACUUUUUAAGCUCAAUCUUGAUUCAAAACAUGAUUGAGCUGAUUAAGCUCGUUUAUCAAUUUUUAUAAUCAAACUCAUUUAUAAUUAAGCUCUUUUUAUAUAUCAAAGAUAAAAAUGUAAUUUUAUAAGUAAAAAUAUAUUUAAAUGGAAUGCUUAAUUAGGUUUGUGGGCUACUUGAAUCAAGUAUUACAAUAUUUAAAUUCAGCUUAAUCAAUAGCUCGAGCUCUACUCAAUAAUUUUCGAUAAAAUAUUAAGAUUUUUUGAAUCCAAUUCGAAUAGCUUGCAAAUAUAAUGUAUCACUUGUACUCUUAAUUUUGAGUUUGCAUUUUUAAUUCUUAAAAUAAUAUUAAAAAGUUCUUUCUUUCUAAAAAGAAACACCCAAUCAAUUGAAGGCUUUUUAGAAAGUGGUGGCAAAGUGCAUCCUUUACUUUAAGUCUCACUAUAUCUAAAAAGAAAUUAAUGCGAACUGUAGAAAGUGGUAGGAAUGUGCAUCAUUAUUGCUUUAAAAGAAUUUCAAUCUUUAAACGGAUAGAAUUAAAUUUUCAUAAUUUGGAAGAGUUAAAGUGUAAUUUUUUUUAUUAAUUUAAAAUUUUAAAAUUUUUUAAAGAGUUCAAAUAAUAAUUUUUUAUUUUAAGAGAGCCGGGCUCCUGUCAACUCCUGGAUUUGCCUCCAUAAUUUUCAAAAUUUUAAAUUAUGUUAUUUUGAAUAAAAAGUUAAUUGAUAAAGAAAUUCCUUUAGUUUCAAAAAUUCAAUUUUUUUGUUUUAAAAAAUAUUAAAAUUUAAAAAUUAAAAGAUUAAAGUAAUAAAAUUUCUCCCAAUAUUAAUGUCUUUUUGAUACAUGCACGAAUGGAGUGAAAUUUAUUAGAUUCCAAUCAUCAAAACUGCCAAUUUUUAGGCUUGGGAAAUUAGCACACUUGCGAUGACUUUGUGGAUGGGAUUCUGGCAUUUUUUGGGUUGAGAUGUCUCAUGGCAUUUGAAGAUCAAUCUCUUAGCUUCGAAACACAUUUCGAAUCACUCGAUUUUGAGUUCGGAAGCUCAAGUUAUGACUGUUUUAGUGAAGACUGCGCGAGCAGAAUUUUUGAACGAGAUUAUGACGGGAGUUACAAAUUUUGGGCUUUUAAUUCAUGUUUAAAUUAUAUUGGGUUCAGGUUUUAGACUUACUUUUUUUAUUAUAUAUGAGCCUAAUAUUAUAGUUGUUAGAUCUUAUUAUUUUAUUAUUAUUUUAUUCUAAAUUUUUUAUAAUUAUUAAGUAUUUUAAGUUAUUUAGGAGUUUUAUAUUAACAAGAAAAUUCAAUUUAAAACUACUUCUUAUUUAGAUUAAAUUAGAAUUCUAGUAUACUUAAAAGUUUUAUUUAGAUUUAUUUAGCUAGCCUAUAUGUAGGCAUUAUUCAUUAUUAUUCUAUUUAUCUUUUGAGUUAAUAAAUUCUCUCUGGGGUUUUUUUUUUCAAGAAUUUUUCUUGAGUUUCUUUUAGAAGAGUUUUAACAAUCAUUUUAGAUUGUGGGGAUCAUUUUCAAACUUUUUAUUGCCAAGGUUUCUAUCUUGAAGGGGAAAUUAGAGCCGCUUGAAGGGGAUUGUGAAUUCUUCGUGUUUCCAAGGCUUAUUAGGACUUCUACACACCACAUUCUAUCUUUUCAUUUAUCUUCUUUAUUUGCUUCCUUAUCUUUAAUUUAUUAUUUUAUUUUAGUUAUUUAUUUUAAUUGUUUUAUCUGACUUGGAUUCAAUUUCGUUUCAGAUUGUGUCAAAAUCCAAUUUCUUUCCGAACGUUUAGAACCCUAAGUCAAAUCCAUAAUUUUGACAAACUUUAUGAUCCACUUUCGCGUUCAUCCUUCUCAUCCUUUUGUACUGGCUUGAGGAGUCGACUCUGUUGUAGAUUCUAGAUUAAUCUGAUGCUCCACCUGCUUUUGAUUUUCUUUAUUGGAAGAGUCUUUAAGAGAUAUGUUAAGUAGCAUAACAGUUUCAUCAAAAACAACAUUUCUGUUAAUCACAACUUUUCUAUUUUCAGGAUACCAUAACUUAUACACUUUUACACUAGCUUUAUAACCAAGAAAAACACAUUUAAUGGUACACAAUUUUAAUUUUCCAUUAUCAGCAUGAGUAUACGCAAAACACCCAAAAAUCUUUAAAUCAGAAUCGUCAGCAGGAUUACUAAACCAUACUUCUUAUGGAGUCUUUUUCUCAAUAGCAACGAAUAGAGACCGAUUGAUCAAAAACAUAUAGUUGACAUUGCUUUGGCCCAAAAUAACUUUGAUAAGUUGCCAUUUGACAACAUACAUCGAACAUUCUCCAUGAUCGUUCUAUUCAUUCGUUCUACAAUACCUUUUUUAAAAUGUUCAUGUUCUAAAAUGAAAAACAAUAUGAAUUGCAUGAAUUGCUUAUAUGUCCUAUGAAUUAUAAAGGAAUGCGGUUGAAAUAUUCCCAUCGAUACAUACAUACAUAUUCGUGAAGUAUGUUCCAAUAUAAUAUCAAUAUUGGGAUUUACGUUUUAUAAAGCAACAUUAUUGAUUGGUAAUAUACAUUAAUUCCAAGGCAAACCCAAAUAUUUUAAAAUUUAACCUACAACUGUGGUAAAUCAAACUUAAUAGUAACUCGAUUGUAAUGUGAAGUCAAAUAUGAAAGUAACAUUGGUUUAUAUAUAUAUUUUUCUCUAAAUUCUAAUAAUCAAGUUGGGAUAAGUGAUAAACACUGAGCUUGCCACGUGUGUUAACCACGUUUUCAUCAUGUGCCACUCCAAAGACAUCAGGCCUCUAUUCAAGCUGGCAUGGUCAGGACGUGGUAGCAUACUUCAGGGAUCUGGUUAGAAAAUAUCCCAUAUCGCUAAAGAACUAUAACACAGGAGCGUUUAUAUAAGCGAAAGAAGCAUCAGAUGGUUGUCCCUUCGGGGACAUCCGAUAAAAUUGGAACGAUACAGAGAAGAUUAGCAUGGCCCCUGCGCAAGGAUGACACGCACAAAUCGAGAAAUGGUCCAAAUUUUUUUCCCUUUUUUUUCCCACAUUUUUACAGCUCUGUUUCUUUUUUUUUUCCUGGGUUUGGUGUUCAUAUUCAUGGGUUUUUGUGCACUUAAGAUUGCAAUUAGAGUUUUCUUUCUUUCUUUUACUCUCUUGAACUGUGAAUUUGAUUUUUUUUUCCAUUUUUUCAGCUUUGUUUCUUUUUUCCCCCUGGGUUUAGUUUUCAUGUUCAUGGGUUCCGCGCACUUAAGAUUGCAUUAGAGUUUUUUUUUUUUCCUUUUUACUGGGUUUUGGCCAGUUGUACUCUGUUGAACCGUGAAUACCUCAAGUUUUCUGGGAAUAAAUUGUUGCUUAUAUAUUUGCUGGUUAACAGUGGUAAUUUUCUGAUAUAUUGGCCAGAAUUGAAGGAUGAAGGUCCAACUUUGCUUUUGGUCCUUCUACUACUAUCUUAAGAUUUAAAAGAAAUUCAAUUAAACAAUUUCUUCCAAUAAAAUUAAAUAAGAAGGCCCAGAAAUUGACCUGCACACUUAGACAUGUUUCUCUUUGAAAAAAAUUCAAACAGGAUUUUAAAAUUUGCAAUGUGUUUUAUGUAAAUCAAAUGAUAUCCUGAAUUUUGCUAAGGGUGCUUCAUAUCCUUGAAUCCUUUUUUUGCUUGGCAAGUGAUUCAUUGAGUUUUUGUGAUCAAAUUUCAUGUUUCCUUUUUUAGUACGGGAAUUUGUGGGAAAAUGCUUGGCAAUAUGGAAAUGAAACCAAUUUCCAUUUACGAAGGCACCAGCAAAGUGGUGAAGCUUAUUGUUGAAAAAUUCUUCAAUAAUGUCAAUAAUGAAAAAGUAGAAAAUGGAAAAACAGAGAAUAAUUUUGGUUCUUCAUCCUAUUUGUAGUUAUAGUGAACGGAUUUCUUUGAUUUUAGUAACUAAUAUUAUGAUUCCAACAUUUGGGGUUUUAAUCUCACUACAUGAACUUGGCUUUGCUUCUUAGUGUUAUUGUUGAACUUUUUAGGAUACCUCUAUCUUAAUCCAUUUAUGUGAUUUGAUAAUGAUAUUUGCAGGCACUUAAAUCUUCCAUUGAAAUGGAGAACACCAACUACGAGGAGGAGCUGAAGAAUGAUUGCAGGCUUGUUUGCAGUCUCAUAUACGAUAUUAAUUGCAGAAAAGAACAGUUGUCCCAAAUGGAACGUGAAUAUAACGAGAUGACCGCAACUCUUCAAGGACUCAUCAAUGGCCUCAUGGCAAAAAUUAACUCCCAAGGACUGUAAUCUGUGGGGUUGGGAGCUUCAAUAUAAUGUAACCGUGAGACAGUUGAAGGGCAAGAAUGCUGCGUUGCGCCUUGCGUUUGCUGAAG
rnacentral:lncRNA from 1 species